GUUUUUCUUCUUCAACAAACCGUGUAGCCAUUUUUGAGAGAAGAAAAGCUUUGGUUAGCUAGGGUUCAUCAAUAGAUCAAGAACGUGUUGUCAAUCGCAGGAAAGAAAAGAUUUCUGAGUAGGUCAUUGUACUUCGAUAUGUCUGCAAAUUAGUCCUAUUACAAUUUUGUGGGCCCAGAAGAUCGGAUCAAC